AGAAUGAACGCUGGCGGCAUGCCUAACACAUGCAAGUCGAACGAAUUACCUUCGGGUAGUUAGUGGCGCACGGGUGCGUAACGCGUGGGAAUCUGCCCCUUGGUUCGGAAUAACAGUUGGAAACGACUGCUAAUACCGGAUGACGACGUAAGUCCAAAGAUUUAUCGCCGAGGGAUGAGCCCGCGUAGGAUUAGGUAGUUGGUGUGGUAAAGGCGCACCAAGCCGACGAUCCUUAGCUGGUCUGAGAGGAUGAUCAGCCACACUGGGACUGAGACACGGCCCAGACUCCUACGGGAGCAGCAGUGGGGAAUAUUGGACAAUGGGCGAAAGCCUGAUCCAGCAAUGCCGCGUGAGUGAUGAAGGCCUUAGGUGUAAAGCUACUUUACCCGGGAUGAUAAUGACAGUACCGGAGAAUAAGCUCCGGCUAACUCCGUGCCAGCAGCCG
rnacentral:rRNA from 1 species